UGUGCUAAUACCGCAUAGUCUCUCAGGAGAAAAGCAGGGGAUCGCAAGACCUUGCGCUUUAGGAGCGGCCGAUGCCUGAUUAGCUUGUUGGUAAGGUAAAAGCUUACCAAGGCUUCGAUCAGUAGCUGGUCUGAGAGGACGACCAGCCACACUGGGACUGAGACACGGCCCAGACUCCUACGGGAGGCAGCAGUGGGGAAUUUUGGACAAUGGGGGAAACCCUGAUCCAGCCAUGCCGCGUGAGUGAAGAAGGCCUUCGGGUUGUAAAGCUCUUUCAGCCGGAACGAAACGG
rnacentral:rRNA from 1 species